rnacentral:lncRNA from 1 species
ACGACAAACCUAGAGCAAGCAUACCUCAAAAGAUCGAUAGCAUUAGGAUACAGAAAAUUCAAACAAAUAAACAAAAUCCCAUAUAAAUAUAGACAUCGAACACAAAUAUAGAGAGGGAGAGCUUGCCUACGGAGAGAGAGAGAGAGAGGCGUCUUUGGACUAUGAGAGAGCGUUGCAGAGGGGAGCAGGUUGUUCCCACCCAGUCUGAGGUCGCGUGUGGGGCUUACUUGAAAUUGUAAAUUAUUUUUAAUAAUAAAUAACUUGUGAUCGCUGGUGCCUCAAAGAUCUUGUUUGGGAAAAACUCAAAAAUCAAAAUUGUCAACUUAUAAGCUUGGGCUCACAAACGUAUCUUCAAAAUCAUAUAAUCGUGGAUAUUAUAUUUUAUAUGUACUAUCUAAUUCUACUAUACU